CCCUUUACCACAUAUAUACGCGAAACAACGCACUUUCGACCCCCCCUUUUUUUUGGGCCUCAAAUAGUGAAAAAAUGUCCUAUUUGGGCCCCAAACAUAAGUUUUCGUUUGAGAAAUGUUGCUAAAAAAAUUGAGCACUUUUUCGGCGCCGCCGCCCAUCCAAAAGAUACAUCAGGGGGUUGCCAGAAGGGGGAUGUGCCCCCUUCUGUUAGGGGGGUUUGAAGGGGGGCGGAGUCCCCCUCAUCGCCAAGAAAAUUUUGGACUUGUGAGAGGCUAAAAAUGACCCCAGGUCGAUCAUAAUGUAACGUUUAACCAACGCUGAAAAGCCUUUGACUCUAUCUCAAUCCCUUGAGAAGUUGCAGCACUUUGAAAUAAAUUUUGAUGGAAAAAAUCGAGGCAAAAUAGUGAUUUUUGGCAAUUUUGAGAUGUCCCCUCGUUGCCAUGGUAACAGGAAAUUUAAGACUGAGCAUGUCGUUACAAAGGCAAUGGUCCAGUCAACAUUUGUGCCAAGUUUGAUUAGUAUUGAAGCAUUUUUCAUAGUUUCAUAGCAGUUUGAACUUGUAACAGGAGGCUUUUCAGUGAAAACGGCCAUUUUUCACAAUAUGCUCAUGGGGGAAAGGGUUAACUAAAAAAAAUAUAAAUGUUACAAAACAACAAUUUUUCACCAAAAUUAGGUGAAAGACCACAUGUUAACAUGGAAAAACUAGUUUUUAGGUGAUUCCAAAGUUUUUCAUCAUUUUUUGUUAACCCUUUACCACAUAUAUACGCGAAACAACGCACUUUCGACCCCCCCCCCUUUUU